rnacentral:rRNA from 1 species
GAUGAACGCUGGCGGCGUGCCUAAUACAUGCAAGUCGAGCGAACGGACGAGAAGCUUGCUUCUCUGAUGUUAGCGGCGGACGGGUGAGUAACACGUGGAUAACCUACCUAUAAGACUGGGAUAACUUCGGGAAACCGGAGCUAAUACCGGAUAAUAUUUUGAACCGCAUGGUUCAAAAGUGAAAGACGGUCUUGCUGUCACUUAUAGAUGGAUCCGCGCUGCAUUAGCUAGUUGGUACGGUAACGGCUUACCAAGGCAACGAUGCAUAGCCGACCUGAGAGGGUGAUCGCCCACCCUGGAACUGAGACUCGUCCCACACUCCUACGGGGAGCAGCAGUAGGGAAUCUUCCGCGAUGGGCGAGAGCCUGACGGUGCAACGCGGCGUGAGUCAUGAAGGUCUUCUGAUCCGAAAACUCUGUUAUUAGGGAAGUUCAUAUGUGUAAGUAACUGUGCACAUCUUGACGGUACCUAAUCAGAAAGCCACGGCUAACUACGUG